UUUCCGUAGGUGAACCUGCGGAAGGAUCAUUAUUGUAUAACCGAGGUGCGAGGGCUGUCGCUGAACCGAAAGGUCGUGCACGCCCGAGUGCCCUCACACACAUCCAUCUCACCCCUAUUUGCACCACCGCGUGGGUCCCCCUUUGGCUUGUUCGGAGGGGGGCUUACGCUUUCACACAAACUUUGUAUGCAGUGUAGAAUGUAUUUUUUGUUUUUGCGAUCACGCAAUCAAUACAACUUUCAACAACGGAUCUCUUGGCUCUC
rnacentral:misc_RNA from 1 species